rnacentral:rRNA from 1 species
GACGAACGCUGGCGGCGUGCCUAAUACAUGCAAGUUGAGCGAUGAAGCUUGGUGCUUGCUCCAAUUUGAAGAGCAGCGAACGGGUGAGUAACGCGUGGGGAAUCUGCCUUUGAGCGGGGGACAACAUUUGGAAACGAAUGCUAAUACCGCAUAACAACUUUAAACAUAAGUUUUAAGUUUGAAAGAUGCAAUUGCAUCACUCAAAGAUGAUCCCGCGUUGUAUUAGCUAGUUGGUGAGGUAAAGGCUCACCAAGGCGAUGAUACAUAGCCGACCUGAGAGGGUGAUCGGCCACAUUGGGACUGAGACACGGCCCAAACUCCUACGGGAGGCAGCAGUAGGGAAUCUUCGGCAAUGGACGAAAGUCUGACCGAGCAACGCCGCGUGAGUGAAGAAGGUUUUCGGAUCGUAAAACUCUGUUGGUAGAGAAGAACGUUGGUGAGAGUGGAAAGCUCAUCAAGUGACGGUAACUACCCAGAAAGGGACGGCUAACUACGUG